rnacentral:rRNA from 1 species
AACUUGGGACAAUGGGGGAAACCCUGAUCCAGCCAUCCCGCGUGUAUGAUGAAGGCCUUUGGGUUGUAAAGUACUUUUGUCUGAGAAGCAAAGGUAUCUCCUAAUUCGAGAUACUGCUGACGGUAUCUGCAGAAUAAGCACCGCCUAACUACUUUCCAGCAGCUGCGGUAAUACGUAGGGUGCAAGCGUUCAGCGGAAUUACUGGGCGUAAAGCGUGUGUAGGCGGUUCGGAAAGAAAGAUGUGAAAUCCCAGGGCUCAACCUUGGAACUGCAUUUUUAACUGCCGAGCUAGAGUAUGUCAGAGGGGAGUAGAAUUCCACGUGGAGCAGUGAAAUGCGUAGAUAUGUGGAGGAAUACCGAUGGCGAAGGCAACCCCCUGGGAUAAUACUGACGCUCAGACACGAAAGCGUGGGGAGCAAACAGG